GUCGAGAGGGUUCGGCCCUCGGCGUACUGCUCAGUAACACGUGGAUAACCUACCCUGGGAUGGGGGAUAAUCUCGGAAAACUGAGGAUAAUACCCCAUAGGUCUGGGAGGCUGGAAUGCGCCCAGACUAAAAACUCCGGUGUCCCAGGAUGGGUCUGCGGCCUAUCAGGUUGUAGUGGGUGUAAAGGACCCACUAGCCGACGACGGGUACGGGCCAUGGGAGUGGUAGCCCGGAGAUGGAUUCUGAGACACGAAUCCAGGCCCUACGGGGCGCAGCAGGCGCGAAAACUUCGCAAUGCGCGAAAGCGCGACGAGGGGAUUCCAAGUGCAUGCACUCAGUGCAUGCUGUUUUCCAGUGUAAACAGCUGGGAGAGUAAGGGCUGGGUAAGACUGGUGCCAGCCGCCGCGGUAAUACCAGCGGCCCUAGUGGUGAUCGUUAUUAUUGGGCCUAAAGCGU
rnacentral:rRNA from 1 species